UUCAGGCUGUGGCACCACAUCCAGGGGACAAAGAGCGCGUCGGUUGUCCCCACCCUGCAGCUCUUGGGUCCAUGUCUUCUCUCUCCGCGCCAUAAAGCCAGAGUUCCCAUUUCAGUCACUACAAUCACCCCUCCUUGCACCAGGCCUUCCAGGUGUGGGGCAUGGGCAUGUUUACCUCUGGCCUGUGUGGACCGCUGUGGGGAGGCUUGGCCAGCAAGUUGCUGAGCCAAGUAUCUUUUAUGGGAUCCUGCCGCUCCACAGGAGGAUCCGGGAGGCUGAACUAGAGUUAAGUUAGAAUCUUUCGGUUCCCCUUCGGGCUGGGCUCCCCGCAGGAACCAGGAACGGGCUGGCCAGGAGGACAUGAUGGACCGGGAGAAGGUGACAGAGGCAAAGCCAGACCCUUCCUGUUCCAUCUUGCAGAGGCUGUCCCAACGCGAGGUGAGGCCAGGUGCCUGGGGGACAUCGAUGCCUGACCAGAGCCCAGCCUGGACAGCCUUCCAGCAAAGGCUGGGCACUGGCCGACCGUAACGGCCCAGGAGAAUGAGGACACGGGAGUCUCGGGGCUGGAGGAGCUGGCUGACCAGAUGGUGCCUGACACGGUGCUGAAAACAGGGCAGCAGUCCCCAGAGGCUGAGGGGCCAAAGUAGCCUGUCCACCCAGAGUGGCGAGGCCCACGCCUGUGCAGGAGGCCUGAGGCAUGGGGUGGCCUCCCUCACAGCUGUGCCCACCCAGCCUGUGCGCAGGGCGAUGUGCUCCUAUGUCUGGGCAGUGAGCUGGGCCCUGCGGCGAGAGCAGCAGCAGCUCGAUUUCACACGGAGCCACUAGGGAGUGGGCCGUUCCCUUGGCCAUACCCGUGGGGGACCCAGUUCAUCUGUGGAAUUCAGAACCCCAGAGUAUUUAAUCUGCCAUCUCAGGACCUCCGCUGGGGAGCUGGGGCAGGUGGGUGGGUGGUCCCGCUGGGCUUCCGUGGUGCAUGCCAGGGACCUCAGAAUGGAGCGCCCCACUGAGCCAGCGGCUCUGCUUCAGGCCCAAGAGCAGGGAGUAAGAGAGAAGCCUGCUCAGGCAGAACAGGUGACACUCGUGGCGGGGGCUGCACCCCAAACACUUGCCAUCCGACUAAGGGUGUGGGGCAGCCCUUCUUUCCUUAGUCCUGGCAUGUCGGGUGGGUCAGCUUGGUGGACAGCUGGCCCUGCUGACCCGGGAUCCGCCCUGGGUUCCCCAUGGCCUGGAGGCAGGAGGAGAUGGCCACUGCAUCCAGCGUCGCCUCCUGGUGCUGCGGGCCCCUGACGGACAGAGGACGCUCGACCCCUGCCCGCCACCGCCCAGGGAGUCAGCCCGACUCCCAGGCACCCGCCCCUCUCCCUGCCUGGAGCUCAGCUCGCGGGGUUGGCUAGGGAGUGAUGGGGAGUGGAAUCCAGCGACACCAGGUCACCCUUCCGGGAGCCUUUUCUCCAGCUGGGACGAGAGGGAAUCAAAGGAAAGUAAGACACGGCUCAGGAGGCGGGGACGCGCCUGAAAACAGGGCGGGAGCCUUUCCAACCCCCGCGGGCUGCGAUGCAGCAGAAAACUCGGCCGCCUGCACCGGGGAUUCUCCAGAAACACAGGCGUGCCUGGGUGUGCGCUCAACUUCCCGGGCGAGGGACGUUUCUGCACUUGCCCUCGGCUUCUGAACUUUGUACUUUGCGAGUGUACUUUGUACUUUGGUCCUGUGUCCCUGCAGCCCUGUGACUACACGCGCACACGCAGGCGCGCGCACACGCGAACUGACGGCUCGCUGGCGAUGCUGGAGG
rnacentral:lncRNA from 1 species